CCUAUCUUAAACGAUCCAGUGCUGAAAUACAUCAACAUUCGACAAGGGCCACAAGGCGAAAAACUCACGAUAUCUGCCAAACCAGUUACAACCAGAAACUGCAGUGUCCCAUAAACGUUGAAAAAACACAAAUAUUUCUCGUAGUCUUGUAUUUCGGUUCAAUUUUCAUCAAAUAUUUGAAAAAAUUGCAACAGGAAAGCACAC